rfam:Brachypodium distachyon strain Bd21 chromosome 3, whole genome shotgun sequence.
UAUGUACUCCCUCCGUCCAACAAAAGAUGCAUUAAGUUUGUCAAAAUUUGGAUGUAUCUAGACAUGACUAACUGUAUAGAUACAUUCAAAUUUAAUCAAAGUUGAGACAUCCUUUGUUGGACGGAGGAAGUAUGUA